rnacentral:rRNA from 1 species
UACGUAGGGUGCAAGCAUUAAUCGGAAUUACUGGGCGUAAAGCGUGCGCAGGCGGCUUUGCAAGACAGAUGUGAAAUCCCCGGGCUCAACCUGGGAACUGCAUUUGUGACUGCAAGGCUAGAGUACGGCAGAGGGGGAUGGAAUUCCGCGUGUAGCAGUGAAAUGCGUAGAUAUGCGGAGGAACACCAAUGGCGAAGGCAAUCCCCUGGGCCUGUACUGACGCUCAUGCACGAAAGCGUGGGGAGCAAACAGG